AAGUGAACCUGGAAUAAACUUUAUAUUAAAAAAAAGAAAAAAAAAGGGCUGUGGGCCUGGGGCGAGACCUUUCCAUUGCACAUCGGCUUGGUUGACCCCUGCAACCGUCCCAAAUGUGGACGACUUGGGUGCGCAAUUUAUAAGUGUGGGGGACUGCGUUCGCGCUCUCCCCUU